GACGAACGCUGGCGGCGUGCUUAACACAUGCAAGUCACGGGGGCCCGCAAGGGCAACCGGCGAACGGGUGCGUAACACGUGAACAACCUGCCCUCGUGUGGGGGAUAGCCAUGCUAACGCGUGGGUAAUACCGCAUACGGUCCUUUGGGGGAGUCCCUGGGGGAAGAAAGCUCCGGCGCACGGGGAGGGGUUCGCGGCCUAUCAGCUAGUUGGGGGGUAGUAGCCGA
rnacentral:rRNA from 1 species